UACGUAGGGGCUAGCGUUAUCCGGAAUUACUGGGCGUAAAGGGUGCGUAGGUGGUUUCUUAAGUCAGAGGUGAAAGGCUACGGCUCAACCGUAGUAAGCCUUUGAAACUGGUCGACUUGAGUGCAGAAGAGGGAAGUGGAAUUCCAUGUGUAGCGGUGAAAUGCGUAGAGAUAUGGAGGAACACCAGUGGCGAAGGCGGCUUCCUGGUCUGUAACUGACACUGAGGCGCGAAAGCGUGGGGAGCAAACAGGAUUAGAUACCCCCGUAGUCCCUGAGCGGG
rnacentral:rRNA from 1 species